GGGGUUGGGGCUCAGUGGUAGAGCACAUGCCUAGCAUGCGUGAGGCACUGGAUUUGAUCUUCAGCACCUCA
rnacentral:tRNA from 1 species